CAGCCGCCGCGGUAAUACGUAGGUGGCAAGCGUUGUCCGGAAUUAUUGGGCGUAAAGGGCUCGCAGGCGGUUUCUUAAGUCUGAUGUGGAAGCCCCCGGCUCAACCGGGGAGGGUCAUUGGAAACUGGGAAACUUGAGUGCAGAAGAGGAGAGUGGAAUUCCACGUGUAGCGGUGAAAUGCGUAGAGAUGUGGAGGAACACCAGUGGCGAAGGCGACUCUCUGGUCUGUAACUGUCGCUGAGGAGCGAAAGCGUGGGGAGCGAACAGGAUUAGAUACCCCUGUAGUCCCUGUCUCUUAUAC
rnacentral:rRNA from 1 species